GACGAACGCUGGCGGCGUGCUUAACACAUGCAAGUCGAACGGAAAGGCCCUGCUUUUGUGGGGUGCUCGAGUGGCGAACGGGUGAGUGACACGUGAGUAACCUGCCCUUGACUUUGGGAUAACUUCAGGAAACUGGGGCUAAUACCGGAUAGGAGCUCCUGCUGCAUGGUGGGGGUUGGAAAGUUUCGGCGGUUGGGGAUGGACUCGCGGCUUAUCAGCUUGUUGGUGGGGUAGUGGCUUACCAAGGCUUUGACGGGUAGCCGGCCUGAGAGGGUGACCGGCCACAUUGGGACUGAGAUACGGCCCAGACUCCUACGGGAGGCAGCAGGGGGGAAUAUUGCACAAUGGGCGGAAGCCUGAUGCAGCAACGCCGCGUGCGGGAUGACGGCCUUCGGGUUGUAAACCGCUUUCGCCUGUGACGAAGCGUGAGUGACGGUAAUGGGUAAAGAAGCACCGGCUAACUACGUGCCAGCAGCCGCGGUGAUACGUAGGGUGCGAGCGUUGUCCGGAUUUACUGGGCGUAAAGGGCUCGUAGGUGGUUGAUCGCGUCGGAAGUGUAAUCUUGGGGCUUAACCCUGAGCGUGCUUUCGAUACGGGUUGACUUGAGGAAGGUAGGGGAGAAUGGAAUUCCUGGUGGAGCGGUGGAAUGCGCAGAUAUCAGGAGGAACACCAGUGGCGAAGGCGGUUCUCUGGGCCUUUCCUGACGCUGAGGAGCGAAAGCGUGGGGAGCGAACAGGCUUAGAUACCCUGGUAGUCCACGCUGUAAACGGUGGGUACUAGGUGUGGGGUCCAUUCCACGGGUUCCGUGCCGUAGCUAACGCUUUAAGUACCCCGCCUGGGGAGUACGGCCGCAAGGCUAAAACUCAAAGGAAUUGACGGGGCCCCGCACAAGCGGCGGAGCAUGCGGAUUAAUUCGAUGCAACGCGUAGAACCUUACCUGGGUUUGACAUGGAUCGGGAGUGCUCAGAGAUGGGUGUGCCUCUUUUGGGGUCGGUUCACAGGUGGUGCAUGGCUGUCGUCAGCUCGUGUCGUGAGAUGUUGGGUUAAGUCCCGCAACGAGCGCAACCCUUGUUCACUGUUGCCAGCACGUUAUGGUGGGGACUCAGUGGAGACCGCCGGGGUCAACUCGGAGGAAGGUGGGGAUGACGUCAAGUCAUCAUGCCCCUUAUGUCCAGGGCUUCACGCAUGCUACAAUGGCUGGUACAGAGAGUGGCGAGCCUGUGAGGGUGAGCGAAUCUCGGAAAGCCGGUCUCAGUUCGGAUUGGGGUCUGCAACUCGACCUCAUGAAGUCGGAGUCGCUAGUAAUCGCAGAUCAGCAACGCUGCGGUGAAAAGGUUCCCGGGGCU
rnacentral:rRNA from 1 species